rnacentral:misc_RNA from 1 species
UACAAGCGGCAUUUCAAGCAAAAACUUCAAAUUAUCUACAACACGCAGUGUUCAACAGGACCAGGAUUCAAUCAAAGCCGCUGCAAUGACAGGAUCCUGUACAGAGAAUAAAAAGAAAACAAGACGCUUGAUAGAUAAUUCAUCUGGGUUCCUUCAAAUAGCCUCCAUCAUACAGUUUGGAGGAACACCUCAUACCUGAGAUAUAUAUAAUGUCAAAUCCUAGUAUUCUAAUAUAGCUAUUAGUCUGACUUGCAUCAAGCAACUCAGUAGUUGCUGCUUGGAGGGUUAAAAUUUAAGCUACCAUAACAGAACAAUUCAAUAUAAAGUUGCUUAGUCUGUUUCUGCCACACUCAAGAGGCCUCCAUUGCAGUCGCUCAGCUUCAGCAUCCGGGCGGCAGGUGUAUAUUGCCAUGCCAUCUCCUGAAUAAGAGACCAUGGAUGUUGAUGAACCGAUUAAAAGUAGCUCGUUGCCCAGAGACUUGAAGGCUACACCCCAUCCUCUUGAAGAAUCAGCUCGUACUGGGACUGGCCCGAACUUCCUCCAUGUUUUGGUCCUUUUUGAAUACACUUUCAGCUCAUUUGAUGAAGUCUCCAGCGAGUAAAGCUCAUUGUUCACAACAGCAACAAGAGGUGGAGAUUGGAAAGUAGCAACAGGAGUAUCCUCCAACAUGUCUGGGACGAGUUCCCAUUUCUUUUUAUCCUCAUCAUAGGCUUCUCCACAAGUAAGACAUUUUCCCUCCUCAUUUCGCCCACCGAUCACAUAAAACUUGUUAUCCAUGUAAAAACCUGAGCAGAGCCUCCUUUUCCUUUGCAUCCUUGGAAGGGUUUCCCAUGUCUUAGUAUCAGAAUUGUAUUUCUCAGCAGACUUUAGAACUGCACCAGCCUCUGUUACCCCACCAGCUACAAAAGCAAAGGGGCCACAGGAAGCCGAAGCAAACAGACACCUAGGUGUGAUCAUUGAAGGACCCUUACUCCAGCUAUUUGUUUCCAAUUCAUAUCUCCAAACAACAACACCAUCUAUCUCCCUGCCUGAAAUGAUCAGAUGAGUCCCUGCACAAACUGAUUCUUUGUCUCCUGAAGAAAAACAAGAGUCUGCUGGCAAGUCUGGAAGCUUACGACGAGAACUAAAUUGUCGAGCAAAUCCCCACCAACCACUGUCUCCAGUUGUAAAAAUAAAAACAGAUGAUUCUUUGACCCCAAGUUCCCUCCUAAUCUUAAAGAGUUCACCAGUCUUCGUAAGAGCAAAUAUUCGUUUGUUCACCAAUGGAAAUUUCCAGUACUCUGAUCUUGGAAUCCUUGCCAAAAUCUGAUUCUCUACCUCAUCACUGAGCUGGGGAACUUCGGAGUAAUCUGCAUCCUGAGGUUCUAAACUUGAGGAUCCAUCAAC